CAAUAGCGUAUAUUAAAGUUGUUGCAGUUAGAACGCUCGUAGUCGGAUUUCGGGGCGGGCCGACCGGUCUGCCGAUGGGUACGCACUGGUCGGCGCGUCCUUCCUUCCGGAGACCGUGCCUACUCUUAACUGAGCGGGGGCGGGAGACGGAUCGUUUACUUUGAAAAAAUCAGAGUGUUUCAAGCAGGCAGCUCGCUCUUGCAUGGAUUAGCAUGGGAUAAUGAAAUAGGACUUUGGUGCCAUUUUGUUGGUUUCGAACACCGAAGUAAUGAUUAAAAGGGACAGUCAGGGGCACUCGUAUUCCGCCGAGAGAGGUGAAAUUCUCAGACCAGCGGAAGACGAACUACUGCGAAAGCAUUUGCCAGGGAUGUUUUCACUGA
rnacentral:rRNA from 1 species